UUUCCGAGAAGAAAAGAAUGAAGAAAUCAUUGCAAGCCACCUCCUUCCUCUCCUUUCUCCUCCUGGAAGCCCCAAAUUAACUGAAGUUAAAUUAGUCGAUUGAGAGUCAGAGGAGAAUGUGGAGAACAUAUUGGUCACCCUUACAAGAGUUCCUUACGUAAGGCUGUGCACACAGGCAAAAAGAACCAAUGAUGAUAACGUGAAGGAGUUUGUGAUGGCGGAACAGUAGACUUUCCUGGACUAAAUAGCAACCUCCUGGCUUUGAUGAUGACCCUGGCCCACUCUGUGAGAGGAAGCCACACUGCCUAUGAUGCUGUUGAAGGUCAAACUGAAUAAACUUCUGGGAAUAUCAGGUAGGACAAAAUGUGUGGGCAAAUGGGGCCAAUC